rnacentral:rRNA from 1 species
UACGGAGGGUGCAAGCGUUAUCCGGAUUCACUGGGUUUAAAGGGUGCGUAGGUGGGUUGGUAAGUCAGUGGUGAAAUCUCCGAGCUUAACCCGGAAACUGCCAUUGAUACUAUUUGUCUUGAAUACUGUGGAGGUCAGCGGAAUAUGUCAUGUAGCGGUGAAAUGCUUAGAUAUGACAUAGAACACCAAUUGCGAAGGCAGCUGGCUACACAAAUAUUGACACUGAGGCACGAAAGCGUGGGGAUCAAACAGG